rnacentral:rRNA from 1 species
GUGGGGAACCUGCCCUUGAGUGGGGGAUAACGUUUCUAACGAGACGCUAAUACCGCAUGAUACCGGCUUUGGGCAUCCAAGGCCGGUCAAAGGUGGCCUCUGUUUCAAGCUGUCGCUUGAGGAUGGCCCCGCGUCCGAUUAGCUAGAUGGUGGGGUAACGGCCUACCAUGGCGACGAUCGGUAGCCGGCCUGAGAGGGUGUCCGGCCACACUGGGACUGAGAUACGGCCCAGACUCCUACGGGAGGCAGCAGUCGAGAGGCUUCCGCAAUGGGGGAAACCCUGACGGAGCGACGCCGCGUGGGUGAGGAAGGUCUUCGGAUCGUAAAACCCUGUCAGGAGGGACGAAAACCGGAUUGGCUAAUACCCUUUCCGCUUGACGGUACCUCCAGAGGAAGCUCCGGCUAACUCCGUGCCAGCAGCCGCGGUAACACGGAGGGAGCAAACGUUGUUCGGAAUUACUGGGCGUAAAGGGCGUGUAGGCGGUUCUCUAAGUCGGGGGUGAAAUCCAGUGGCUCAACCAUUGGCCUGCCUUCGAAACUGGGGAACUUGAGGCCGUGAGAGGAAAGCGGAAUUCCUGGUGUAUCGGUGAAAUGAGUUGAUAUCAGGAGGAACACCAGUGGCGAAGGCGGCUUUCUGGCGCGGUUCUGACGCUGAGGCGCGAAAGCAUGGGGAGCAAACGGGAUUAGAUACCCCGGUAGUCCAUGCUGUAAACGAUGAGAACUAGGUGUCGGGGGUAUCGACCCCCUCGGCGCCGCAGCUAACGCAUUAAGUUCUCCGCCUGGGGAGUACGGUCGCAAGGUUGAAACUCAAAGGAAUUGACGGGGGCCCGCACAAGCGGUGGAGCAUGUGGUUUAAUUCGAUGCAACGCGAAGAACCUUACCUGGGCUUGACAUAUGCCUGACUGUCGUGGAAACACGGCUUCCUCGAAAGAGGUGGGUUUACAGGUGCUGCAUGGCUGUCGUCAGCUCGUGUCGUGAGAUGUUGGGUUAAGUCCCGCAACGAGCGCAACCCUUAUCCUUAGUUGCCAUCGGGUCAUGCCGGGCACUCUAGGGAGACUGCCUGUGUUAAGCAGGAGGAAGGCGGGGAUGACGUCAAGUCAUCAUGGCCCUUACGCCCAGGGCUACACACGUGCUACAAUGGCCGGUACAAUGGGCUGCAAUGCCGCGAGGUGGAGCUAAUCCUCAAAACCGGUCUCAGUUCGGAUUGGAGUCUGCAACUCGACUUCAUGAAGU